rnacentral:tRNA from 1 species
AAGAAAGUGACAGAGGGGUUAUGUGGCUGGCUUGAAACCAUCAUACGGAGGUUCAAUUCCUUCCUUUCUCG